AAUAUACUCCCUCCGUCCGGAAAUACUUGUCCUAAAGAUGAAUGUAUCUAGACUUAUUUUAGUUAUAUAUACAUCUAAUAUAUCCAUUUUUAGGACAAGUAUUUCCGGACAGAGGGAGUAGUAU
rnacentral:pre_miRNA from 1 species